rnacentral:misc_RNA from 1 species
CGCACAUUGCGCCCUUUGGCAUUCCGAAGGGCAUGCCCGUUCGAGCGUCAUUAAAUCCAAUCAAGCCUGGCUUGGUAUUGGGCGUCGGGGUCCCCCCGCGCCUCAAUUUCACCGGCUGGCCGUCGCCCGUCGUAGCGUUGUGAUAUACCUCUCGCUAUCGAUGGGAACGGAUCAUGCCGUUAGAAUCUCGUGAAUUUCAAUCGAAAUUUGAUUAAGGUUGACCUCGGAUCGGGUAGGAAUACCCGCUGAACUUAA